rnacentral:rRNA from 1 species
AGAGUUUGAUCAUGGCUCAGAUUGAACGCUGGCGGUAUGCUUAACACAUGCAAGUCGAACGGUAACAGUCCCUCACCUAGAAAUUUCUUAAAAAGAGAUUUGUAGGUGAGGGAGCUGACGAGUGGCGGACGGGUGCGUAAUGUAUAAGAAUCUGCCUAGUAGUGGGGGACAACUCGGAGAAAUUCGAGCUAAUACCGCAUAAGCCCUACGGGGGAAAACGGGGGAUCUUCGGACCUCGUGCUAUUAGAUGAGCCUAUAUUAGAUUAGCUUGUUGGUGAGGUAAUGGCUCACCAAGGCGACGAUCUAUAGCUGGUCUGAGAGGAUGAUCAGCCACACUGGGACUGAGACACGGCCCAGACUCCUACGGGAGGCAGCAGUGGGGAAUAUUGGACAAUGGGCGAAAGCCUGAUCCAGCAAUACCGCGUGUGUGAAGAAGGCCUGAGGGUUGUAAAGCACUUUCAAUUGGGAGGAAUACCUAAUAGUUAAUAGCUAUUAGAUUGACA